UACGUAGGGUGCAAGCGUUGUCCGGAAUUAUUGGGCGUAACGAGCUCGUAGGCGGUCUGUCGCGUCGGCUGUGAAAUCCCGAGGCUCAACCUCGGGUCUGCAGUCGAUACGGGCAAACUAGAGUAUUGCAGGGGAGACUGGAAUUCCUGGUGUAGCGGUGAAAUGCGCAGAUAUCAGGAGGAACACCGGUGGCGAAGGCGGGUCUCUGGGCAAUAACUGACGCUGAGGAGCGAAAGCGUGGGGAGCGAACAGG
rnacentral:rRNA from 1 species